rnacentral:rRNA from 1 species
UCCUACGGGAGGCAGCAGUGGGGAAUAUUGCACAAUGGGGGAAACCCUGAUGCAGCGACGCCGCGUGAGUGAAGAAGUAUUUCGGUAUGUAAAGCUCUAUCAGCAGGAACGAGACAAGACGGUACCUGACUAAGAAGCUCCGGCUAACUACGUGCCAGCAGCCGCGGUAAUACGUAGGGAGCAAGCGUUAUCCGGAUUUACUGGGUGUAAAGGGCGUGUAGGCGGGCAUGCAAGCCAGAAGUGAAAUCUGGGGGCUUAACCCCCAAACUGCUUUUGGAACUGCGUGUCUU